AUGGUCACUGAAGAUGAAGGUGGUGAUCCAACCAUUCAAACACAAGAAGGGCUUGCUCCGACCAAUAAGGUGAUUAGAAACCUGGGGAGGAAGUGGGAGGAGGAGGAGGAGAAACGAGAAGGGGCGGCGGCCAAGAUAAUGGAGGAGUUUGAUGACAUCAUGGCUAAGAAGGAGAAGGCAGAGAGGUUUUGCAUCUUCAUAGAGAUGCAAGACAAGAAUCUCAACCGCCAAGAGAAGAAGUUUGAGAUCAAGGCCGCUUCAGAGGACUUCAAAAUGCUUCGUGAAGACGUCAGACUUGGUCUCGAUGUGGGAGAGAUGGUCCAAGCCUAUCAUGCGCACAUAUUGAAGCGCUUCACGGAAAGGGGGGAGGCUGGACUAGGCAAAGAGUGGGGGUCCUUGACAUGGACAGCCAGACUAGGACCCGAAGAAGGAGCUCUUUGGCACAGACAACCGGACUAG
rnacentral:rRNA from 1 species